GAUGAACGCUGGCGGCGUGCCUAAUACAUGCAAGUCGAGCGAACAGACGAGAAGCUUGCUUCUCUGAUGUUAGCGGCGGACGGGUGAGUAACACGUGGAUAACCUACCUAUAAGACUGGGAUAACUUCGGGAAACCGGAGCUAAUACCGGAUAAUAUUUUGAACCGCAUGGUUCAAUAGUGAAAGACGGUCUUGCUGUCACUUAUAGAUGGAUCCGCGCUGCAUUAGCUAGUUGGUAAGGUAACGGCUUACCAAGGCAACGAUGCGUAGCCGACCUGAGAGGGUGAUCGGCCACACUGGAACUGAGACACGGUCCAGACUCCUACGGGAGGCAGCAGUAGGGAAUCUUCCGCAAAGGGCGAAAGCCUGACGGAGCAACGCCGCGUGAGUGAUGAAGGUCUUCGGAUCGUAAAACUCUGUUAUUAGGGAAGAACAUAUGUGUAAGUAACUAUGCACGUCUUGACGGUACCUAAUCAGAAAGCCACGGCUAACUACGUG
rnacentral:rRNA from 1 species